GUUCUGUGAUUCUUUGAGUUUUAUUUUUCAGGUCACUGAGGCUAGAUCCACGUGAGGGGAUACCUUGGAUUGCUAGAUAUGCUCAAAAUGAGGGCUUGAGGCUCUAGCCCUCUUCCAGUGACUGAAGAUGGUAGCUGAGCCUGCGUGGCAUCCCCUGGAGUAAGGAAGGUGCUGGUGCUUCUGUGCGUGUUCAGUCUGUGGACUUCCUUCUGCCCUUGCUUUCUUCUCAGUUUAUGUGACUGCUUUACCAUGCACUGCUGGUAGAAGGAUCCCUCCUGAUACUGCAUAUUGGAUGGACCGAGAGGGACGGUUAUCAGAAGUAUAUCAGAAGUAUCUGAAGCCUGAAAUCUGAUCCUGAAAUAACUGAAUGAAGAUGCAGGAUCCUUGUUGGUAUGGAUGAGAGUAGCAGUGUCAGUCCCCUGUGCUGAAGACAAGGACUCUGCCUUGGAGAACAGUCUAGAGAUGUCAUGUGC
rnacentral:lncRNA from 14 species